AUUGAACGCUGGCGGCAGGCCUAACACAUGCAAGUCGAGCGGUAGAGAGGUGCUUGCAUCUCUUGAGAGCGGCGGACGGGUGAGUAAUGCCUAGGAAUCUGCCUAGUGGUGGGGGAUAACGUUCGGAAACGGACGCUAAUACCGCAUACGUCCUACGGGAGAAAGCGGGGGAUCUUCGGACCUCGCGCCAUUAGAUGAGCCUAGGUCGGAUUAGCUAGUUGGUGAGGUAAUGGCUCACCAAGGCGACGAUCCGUAACUGGUCUGAGAGGAUGAUCAGUCACACUGGAACUGAGACACGGUCCAGACUCCUACGGGAGGCAGCAGUGGGGAAUAUUGGACAAUGGGCGAAAGACCUGAUCUAGCCAUGCCGCGUGAUCGAUGAAGGCCUUAGGGUGUAAGAUCUUUCAGUGGGGAAGAUAAUGACGGUACCACAGAAUAAGCACCGGCUAACUUCGUGCCAGCAGACCGCGGU
rnacentral:rRNA from 1 species